AAUCAAUAGAGGCAUAGCAAGCAUGCAACCAAUCCAUACCCAAAAUCACAUCAAAAUCCAACAUGUCUAACACUACCAAAUACACCAAAGUAACUUUAUGAGACAAAGAAAUAGGACAACUCCUAUAGAAUCUUUUUGCCACUAUCGAGUCACCAACCGAGGUAGAAACCAAAAAAGGUUCUUCUAACACAUCGGGGAGUAUUUCAAAUUUCAUAGUCACAAAGGUGUAACAAAAGAGACAAAGUAGCACUGGGAUCUAACAAUGCAUAUACAUCAAUGGAAAAGACUUGUAACAUACCGGUCACAAUAUCCGGG
rnacentral:lncRNA from 1 species